ACGUUCUUGUGUUAUUUGCUGGAUGUUUUGAAGUCCAGCGAUUGUCAGACAGAACGGAAACUAAAAUGCUAACUAAUCACUCCAUGAUAAUGCGUCUAAAUUAGCCAGGACUGCUUUAUUACUAAGUGUUAGCAACACCA